rnacentral:piRNA from 1 species
UAGUCUCCUUUCUUUCUAAUU